rnacentral:rRNA from 1 species
CGCACGGGUGAGUAACACGUAUGCAACCUGCCUGCCACAGCCGGAUAAUCGGGAGAAAUUCCGUCUAAUACGGCAUAAUGCAUCGACGGGACAUCCUGUUGGUGCCAAAGGUUGAUUCCGGUGGCGGAUGGGCAUGCGUCGCAUUAGUUAGUUGGCGGUGUAACGGACCACCAAGACGACGAUGCGUAGGGGUCCUGAGAGGAAGGUCCCCCACACUGGUACUGAGACACGGACCAGACUCCUACGGAAGGCAGCAG